UGGGGAAUUUUGGACAAUGGGCGAAAGCCUGAUCCAGCGACGCCGCGUGAGUGAAGAAGGCCUUCGGGUUGUAAAGCUCUUUCGUUGGGGAAGAUAAUGACGGUACCCAAAUAAGAAGCUCCGGCUAACUUCGUGCCAGCAGCCGCGGUAAUACGAAGGGAGCUAGCGUUACUCGGAAUCACUGGGCGUAAAGCGUGCGUAGGCGGCUUUGCAAGUCAGGAGUGAAAGCCUGGGGCUUAACCUCAGAACUGCUCUUGAAACUGCAAGGCUAGAGUGUCAUAGGGGGUGGCGGAAUUUCUAGUGUAGAGGUGAAAUUCGUAGAUAUUAGAAGGAACACCGGUGGCGAAGGCGGCCACCUGGAUGACAACUGACGCUGUUGCACGAAAGCGUGGGGAGCAAA
rnacentral:rRNA from 1 species